UACCUUGUUUUUGGAGAUGGAGAUGGAAAUAUUGAUCAGUUGUUGCCUGUUUGUACAACUGAUUAUUGUGAAGAAAGUCAUCUUUAUGUGUAUUCUAGUAACAAGUGGGAGAGGAUGUUAUCAAAUGAUGGAGGACCUGUUGCAUGGCAGUUUAUUGCACCAUCAAACCAGACAUCAUCUUUAUUCCCAUUAAUGACCAUUCGUACAGGUAUGUAAUCUUUUUGUACAGCCAAUUGAGCCUAAAUAAAUGAAGCUGUUGUAGUGCACAUAGUAGAAGUCAAAAUGGCAAAGUAAUUUUUGUUUUCCUGGGUCCAAGGGUUUCUUCUGUGGCGUGGGGGGGGGGAGAGUUCUGAUUGAAGGAUAGGUGCUAAUGACAAUGACUACCUUUGAACUCUCAGGGUGGAUAAAGAGGAUGCUCAGACUUUCCAUCAUGCUGGAACCCUGCAAAGCAAAUUUAACAUGAUUACUUCAAUGUAUUUACGUACAUCAACACUGUAUACUGUCACUGCUUCUGUAAUGAAACCUAAGGCCACUCUAACAUAGAACAUUCAGUUCCUCUGGGGGUUGUUGGAGGCAACAUUUUUUCGAUUUAUGUUGUUUCUCUGACAUGUGUACCCUAGAUGACCUCCCUUUGUAGCAGUAAAGUGCUUCUACUUAUUAAAGAUUGCUCAUGUUUUGUUAAAAGGGUCUCCACCCACGUGACCAUUAUUGUUCAUCGUUAUAUUCCUAUCAUGCACUUUAGUAAUGGUGCAUUGUGUUAACGUCAUCUUGCGUCCCACCGAACACUUACUAGGAAAACCAAAUUCAAGAGAAUUGCAGCCCUUUUGGAAAAUGUACCAUGUGAAAGUACACAUACCUCUUGCUAUAAGAGACGCACAUUUGAUGUUCAUUGCAAGGAGUUACCAACUUUAGAGGGAGCUGUAGUAGCCACGUUUUUUGAUUUGUAUGAAAAUGGAAAGAUUGGAGUCAUGGGCGUGACUGAGUCUCCGAUGAAAAACGACCCACAAUCCUUAGAGUACUAUGUCCAUACGCUGCGUAGUGAUCUCUAUAGUGAUGCCUGUUUCUUGAAAGUUAUUGUUGUAGGAGACCGAACGUUGACUUCUUGUGAAAAUGAAAACCUGCCUUAUGGCGUAAGUCUGACUGGAGCAUACAUGAAGUACACCACCACAAGUAUAGACGGAAAAAUAAAGUACGGCAGUGAGUGGCCUACCAAAUGGGAAUAGAAAGCAAACUCCCCAGUUGUUACCAGCCCUGUGGAUGGACACCCAGUUUGCCUUCAUUCCAAAGCUUCUCUUUCUCCGCCCAAAGGAAUGCACCUUUAGACUGCUCAAUGUCCGUGUUCAUAAUGUAACCACUGCAGAAUGGAAAGAAUUUGCAUUUUGGAAAAAAAAAAAAAAAAAAAAGAGAUUGGCGGUGUUAAUUCUUCCUCUGAAAACCGACUCAUAAUCCGUCGGUAGGGCCUCUCAGUGGUGACGCGUCUGUCAUUAAAUCUGACUAACUGAAAUCGGUCCCAAGGAGCGAGCACAAUUAAUCUAGUGGAUUGUUUGACAUCCUUGUGCACAAUGUAACUACUGCUGAAUGUGAAGAAUUCCAAUUUAAAAAAAAAGAAUUUGGAUGGGUUCAUUCUUUUUGAAAACCGACUUUGAUUCGAAAUUUAUCAGUAGGGUAUUUCUUACCGGUCAAGUCUUGUUUCAGUUUGAAUUAAAAGUUAUUGAAGGUACCUUGAAUGGCGUAUUUAACUGGCGAAGUACGUCUUGAGUGCAUGAAAGCAAUCAUAUGGAAAAAAAUCCUUUUUUUAACACUUUAUGUAUCAUUUACCUUAUUUGAUAUUAUUAAUUGCAAUGAUUCGUGACUACACACGUCAUACAUUAUAUUUAGCCAGUGCGGUGAUUGUUUAUCUAUUAACCAUUUCAUUGAAAGAAACAACCCUCACUUUGGCAAUUUUUUCCUUUUACAACAAGCCGAACGGAAAUAUUUGGCUCGAUAAUAAAACAUUUGAAAACAUCGGACAUCAGAUAUCUAAAAGGAAUACUUGAACACUAUUGAUGAUAAGUAAAUUCUGCACAGUUUUCACAUCUGUCUUCUAAGAGACCAUCGUUUGUUAGAAAAUCAGUCUAUGCUCUUUAGAUCUGAGAAGCCAUGAACUAUGAUAUUGUCCCAUACUUUAAGUGGAUCCUUUUAUUUUUCCAUCUCUCAGUGCACGACAUCUGGACAUCUUUCACAGAGUUCUGAUUGCAUCGACUCGAAACAAUCAUGCACGACACAACGGUUCACUAACAAGGCAGCCCACGUACAAUAAUUAUCAAAUCAGAUAUCAUGUUCAUCUGUCCGAAAUCUUUUGUCAACAAUAUUCAUUGUGUAUAUCUGUAAUAAACAGGAUGUAUCAUUAUUGAAACAGAGGGAUAGCAUCAGGUAAGGAUGUUUUUGGUUAGGGAUGCUGGUCAACAUCUCCUCCAAAUAUGUAAAGUUUGUUGUAUGCAUAUCUUGGCGCCGUAAGACCCCGUAUAAUUGCGAACUAAUUGGAUGGUUUGGGCUUUUGAAAACCAAUGGGACAUGAAUUGCUCCCAGAAAUUGAGAAAGGAUCAAAUAGUGAAGAAACAUGAGAUGACCUUGUAACUUCAGGAAAGGAAAAUUAAAAAUGUCAGAAAAAAUCGUGAUAAGAUUCGAUCCUUUUGACCUUUUAUUUAAUGUCGGUUUUCAAACUCAGUUGGUGGCUUUGAAAAUUUUCUUUUCCUGGUUCUGUAGUAUGCAUUGAAUCGUACCGUUUGUGAUUGCCAUUUGUCCGAAGUAGUUCUUCUUUACAACAAAUUAACUUAGAUACGCCAUUCGCUUAUGUUACCAUUAUUUAUUUGUAAUCGUAUAGCACAAGAAUUUAUCGUAUGACCCGUUCGGCCCCGCUUGCUAAAGCUGACGUGUGCUGGGUCGGAUGGGUUGACGUGAGCCAGUCCGGAAAAGCCGUCCAGCCCCACUGCCCUCGCGUCGCUUUCUUACAAAAGCUUAAAGGAAAACAGGAAAACUUCUUAAUAGCUCUAAAACUUAUUUUGCUCUUUAUUUAAAAUCCAUGCUUUGUCCAAAAUGUGAGAGGUAGGGUCUACAAUGUAAGAGAAACUUCUAAAUCUUUGGCCUUGCAACACGGCGUAUGUUACAAUGGAAUCCGAAGGGCAAGGGGGAAAGAUGACGUCCUUAGGACACGAGUCAUGACUUGUAUUUCGAGAUGAACUUUCAACGCCUGACGUGGGCAGAAUUUCAUAGCGGGAUAUAUGUGUCUCAGGACUUAAAUGACCAUUUAAAUUGCUCUUUCACAGCCUUUUUAGAAGGUGGACAGGCAGAAUCAAUUACAAUUUCAUCGGGUUUGUUGCAAUUUGUAGCAAUUUACCUCAGUCUUAACGGCAUUCUUCAUAAUAUCUUUUUUUAAACGAUCUUAGAAAAAAAAAAUUAUUUUAGAAAGAAAACUUUUCCUAUCAGGAAAAAACCUUUCUCUGAUUUGUUCACUUUAUUUACCAUUCACCAUUUACCUAAAAAUGAUGUCAAUCAUGAAAGAAAUUUUCCAGCUUACCAAGGGUUUGUAUCCACCUUUUUGCUUUUCUAUUAGCAACUGAUUUUUAUACCAUUCCUUUUACCUGGGUAGCUUGUAGGAGUGUCAGAAAAGAAGUAAUUACAAAAAGUUACGGAACUAACGUCACAUAAAUCAAUUCUUCCAUAUAUUUCGGGAAUAACACUAUAUCCCUUAAGGUAACGAAUUUCUUGCCUUAUUUACUAUCGCACGAAAUAAAGCAAACCUCACAUGGUUCAUGGCAUUGAUAACAGAUUUAACUGACUCUACUAAAUUUAUAUUUCAGAUAAGCUUUUCUCAGUUUUUUGUAUGUAUCAUUUGGUUUUCUCGUUCAGUAAUUAUGCGUUGUCAUUAUAUUCUGAUUUCCUUCUUUAAAAUAGCAGACUUCAAAAUACACAAAUGAAGCGAAAAACAACCAAGAAGGACAGAGGUCAGUUGGGGAUAAAGAACUUACACACCACUGGUGUGUAUGUGGACCAC
rnacentral:lncRNA from 1 species